rnacentral:rRNA from 1 species
AUGGACCAUUCCAUCCCUUUUUCCCGUGCAUAUGCACCGGACUCGGAUGACGAUGGUCCCGAUGAACAAGUUGAUGCGGAGGGGUUCACGGUGAAGGAGGCCGAAGCUUUCGAGAAGGUAUUUGGUCGGGAUCAUCGGACUACAUUGUUCAAGGAUGUUAGUCUCGCGGAUGAAGCCGUGGUAGAUGGUGGCCAAUGUGUACCUCUUGGGGUUAGGCCAAGCUCUCAC